AAGAAAUUUAAUAAUUUUGAAAAUGGAUUUUUUUUUUGUUUUGGCAAGAGCAUGAGAGCUUUUACUGGGCAAGAAGACAAGAGAUGGAGAGUCCAGCCGGGCCUGCGCUUAAGUGCGCGGUCUUGCUAGGCUUGUAAGUUUCUUUCUUGCUAUUCCAAACGGUGAGAGAUUUCUGUGCUUUUGUUAUAGGACAAUUAAAACCGUUUCAAUACAACACACUGUGGAGUUUUCAUAUCUUUGCAACUUUUUCUUUGGGCAUUCGAGCAAUCGGGGCCCAGAGGUUAACAAACACAAACAAUUUUAUCUAUUCAUUAAAUUUUCGUCAAAAACAAGAAUUUUCGUAACUGGAAAUUUUAAAAUAUUAAAAACUUUCAACAACGGAUCUCUUGGUUCUCGCAUCGAUGAAGAACGCAGCGAAAUGCGAUACGUAAUGUGAAUUGCAGAAUUCCGUGAAUCAUCGAAUCUUUGAACGCACAUUGCGCCCCUUGGUAUUCCAGGGGGCAUGCCUGUUUGAGCGUCAUUUCCUUCUCAAACAUUCUGUUUGGUAGUGAGUGAUACUCUUUGGAGUUAACUUGAAAUUGCUGGCCUUUUCAUUGGAUGUUUUUUUUUUCCAAAGAGAGGUUUCUCUGCGUGCUUGAGGUAUAAUGCAAGUACGGUCGUUUUAGGUUUUACCAACUGCGGCUAAUCUUUUUUAUACUGAGCGUAUUGGAACGUUAUCGAUAAGAAGAGAGCGUCUAGGCGAACAAUGUUCUUAAAGU
rnacentral:misc_RNA from 1 species